rnacentral:rRNA from 1 species
AGCGAACGUUAGCGGCGCGCCUAACACAUGCAAGUCGCACGAGAAGGGGGCAACCCCUGAAAGUGGCGCACGGGUGCGUAACACGUAGAUAACCUGCCCUUCGCAGGGGGAUAACGUUCCGAAAGGAGCGCUAAUACCGCGUACAGCAUUCUGGGGUUAGCCUUGGGAUGACAAAGGCUGGGAUUCGCAAGAACCAGUCGGCGAAGGAGGGGUCUGCGGCCCAUCAGCUAGUUGGUGAGGUAAUGGCUCACCAAGGCGAAGACGGGUAGCUGGUCUGAGAGGAUGAUCAGCCACACUGGUACUGGAACACGGACCAGACUCCUACGGGAGGCAGCAGUGGGGAAUCUUGGUCAAUGGGCGAAAGCCUGAACCAGCGACGCCGCGUGAGUGAUGAAGGCCUUCGGGUUGUAAAGCUCUGUGGGGCGAGACGAAAGCCUACGUUCUAACAGGACGUAGUUUGACGGUAUCGCCUUAGCAAGCACCGGCUAACUCUGUGCCAGCAGCCGCCGUAA